GUCCCUGACUGUAUUUUAGUGUCUAACAUGGCACUUGCUAGGCGGUAAGAGUCCAAAACAUUUUUGUGGAAUGAAUACAUAAAAAACAUGCAAUCUGACCUUGCCAGACCACCCGAGGUAUGAAUUUGCUUCCAGUCUCCCACUUAUCAGGAUUUCUUGGCUCCAUCUGUUCUCUUUAGGGCUCUGGUCUGCACUGGGCAGUGAUGGCCGGAGUGGUUUCAUCACACACAUAAACACACUCUUUGCUAGCAAGCUUUCCCGCAGCUCUCCUUUCUUUGACCUUCUAUCAUACCCCUGCCUAAUGUUCACCUUAUACCACCUGAUUAUAUUCUCCUAGAGAGGCCCAUUUGAUGGUAGGAUUAUUAUAUCCUUGAAGGCAUCGAUUAGGAAUGUGAACACUAAUUCUUUUAUGGUUCUGUGCUUGAGUAGCUAAUUCAAUUAAUCUCAUCGAAGCAUAGUUUCCUCAUCUUUAAGAUGGGGAUAAUAAUAUCUGUCCUACUAUACAAUGCCUGGUGGAGGUGAGAACAUGAAGAGAUAAUGUCAAAGCACUUAGAACAAUUGCUAAAUGGAUACAAAAUGUGAGAAAUGUUUAUCAUUGCCUUAUAUCUUUCUGAUAUAUGUGAUAAUAUUUAGUCUUUUCUAGGCACUCUCCAGAUACUAGAAUGCCUUCAUCUGCCUACCCUUACUUCACCUAGUAAGUGAAACGAGAUAUACUACUGUUUCCCGCUGAAUACCCACCGAGAGCAGCACACGCAGAGCUAAGGGCUUCAUUUACUGUGUACAAGAAUGUGAGGUGGACAUUAGUUUCCCUCAUUUGACUGAGGAGAAAACAAAAGCUAGGAGAGCUUUAGCCACUUAGUCAAGGUCACACAGCUUAUAAAUUGGGGAGCUGAGCCCAUGGACUCCAAAGCUAGUGCCCUUCCCCAGGACCUAUAGGGCCUCUCCCCUGCAAAUCUCUCAGAUGGCCGACCCCGGGUCAUACUCUGCCAAGUGCCCACCAUGGCAUACUUUCUGUUCAUUUAAAGUUCACACCGUCAUCAUCAUUUCACAAUUGAGGGAGCGGUGGCUGAGAAAGAGAGAGAGAGAGAGAGAGAGAGAGAACUUGGACAUCUGCUUCCGGGUAGGAGAGAGAGUUACAACAGGCCACCGCAACUAUUGCAGUAACUGGAAGAAAACUGGAUGCAUUGUACAAAACAUCUGCAAGAGACAGUGGAGAGCCUUGGAAGCCAUGAGCGGGAACGAUUAAUCUAGAAAAGAACCUUUUGGCCCGCUGAUCCUGUCUCAUUUUCUUCCCUGGGGGCAUCUGCCCGGUCUGAGCACAGGCAUGUACUUGACCUGAGUGGGCUGAGACGCUACUGAAGGAAAGGGAAACCACAGAGGUUGUGGCCAUCUCGAUAGGCUGGCAGGACAGAGAAACCAGAGGGGCCCCAAAGGCAAGGCUGGUUUUCUCUGUGGAGCAUUUGCUGAGCUGUGGGGAAGCUGAUGAGAAGUCUCAAUAACCCUGGAAUCUAGCACUCUCUAAAUCUGGGCCUGCAGCACAGGCCAGUUGUUUCAAGUUUCUUUCCUGGAGCCCAUGGGGAUCAGGGGAUCAUUCUCCCUUCUCUUUGGUAUCUGUAUUCCUCUGUACCAACUGGGCCUACAUUUUCUGUGGCAAGUAGCUUUUCACAGACAUUGUCGCCCCCUGCUGUCAGCGAUCGGUGUUGCAAUGACUUGGAGCCUGCCCUUAGCAUCUUCUGUCUGGACAGUGUUCUCUCAAGAAUUGGGGGUUUUAGCCCUGAUGAUCAGUUCCCAAGUCUGAGGAUUUUGUCUCACUGGUCUUCUCCACCCCUGAGUGUUAACUGUCUAGAUUGGUCGACGGCCGUGGCUGUCAGGUCCUCAUCUGUGAAAUAGCAUCAACAGUGCCCAUUUUGCAGGUUGUGCAUUCUUCGAGGAAGGAAAUAAAGUUCUUAGUGUUGUCUAGUAUGCAGUUAGUGAUUGGUAAGUAGUAAUAACAGUAGCAAUCCUUCUCAAAGCUCCUCAAAGGAGGCAGCCCUAGGUGGCACUUCCAGUGGUGGGGAGAGAUGGCCUGACUCCAGAUGUUCUGGGGACAUUCUAGACGUUCUCAGCCCUCCUCACCGGAGUGCACCAGGAGCCAGGAGCCUGGUGCCCAACACCAAGGAGGAGGAGAGGAGGAGAGGAGGAGGAAGGCUGGGCUGGUGAGUGCCAGGCAGCUCCCUGGACGUUAGCAUCUGGUCUGUUAACUGUUUAGUAUUGGCGAUUCUCAGGCCUCAGCCCUGGGAGCUGAGGUUGCUCAAACUAUCUCUGCCUUUCUGAAGGUUGCACCUGGGUCCUCUCUGACAAGACGGGACCCCUGGCCUCCUUAGAUGGAGGCAUGCCGAGUUAACUGAUUGAUGGAGGACAGAGGUUAGAUAUUUCAAGCUAGUUCUUGCCUGGGUGAACUGCUUUUCUGCCUCACUGUGUGGGCCCCACGCGGUGGGUGCUGGGGAGCCGUGGGUGUGGGUGCAGACACCUGCCUGGGGGCUUCCUGGGGCCGGGAUCCCAGGGCCUUGGUCGCCUAGCAUCUCAGGGAGCUCAGACCUUCGGGGUCUGUGGCGUCAGCUCUGGACGGUGCCCGUUUCCUGUUCUCCAGCUUCCCCCAUUGUCAGGUUCCCGUGAUACCAGCACCCCUUGCAGCAGCCGUCUCCUGGAGGCUUCUUUCCUGGCGAUGUAGAAGACUUCCCAUCAUUCUUCAUUUUGAAAGCACACACUGUCCCUUGGGCACUCAGCUGCAUUCCCCCAGAUCUUGGCGCUCUUUCCCCCGGGGCCCGCCCACGAUCUCUCUCCCAGUGUGCUUGGCCUCGUCUCUGGCUUGAGCGGACACAGCUGCCCCUGCCUGGCCUUCUUUCUCUGGGUCCUGAGCCGCCGACCGCGCAGGGACGCAGCCGGCAGCCGCCUGUGGUGACGGGUCGGAGUCUAACGCCUUCCCGGGCAGCCCACAGACCCAGCAGUACCCUACUAACUCUGAGCCACCCUUUCUUUUCUGUCCUCACAGCAUUACGACCCUGUGGCUGGUUAAUUUCUACCUGCUGGCUUGUCGCCACAUACGUAGACUUAGGUAUGGGCCUUGUGACUUGCUUCUGUUCUAGAGCUGCCAGAUAAAAUACGCAGUGUCCGGUUAAAUUUAAAUUUUGAAUAGGCAAGGAGUCUUUUUUUUUUUUUUUUUUUUUAGUUUAAGUGUGGCCUAUAUAUUGCAUGGACAUACUUAUACUAAAAAAAGAUCCCCUGUUUAUCUGAAAUUGAAGUUUAACUGGAUGCCUUGUAUUUUUAUUGGCCAAGUCUCGCAACUCUGUUCUUAUCUGCCCCAUCAGGGUCCUCUAGGGGCUUGGGAACUUUUUGGGGGAGGCUCCGCUCCUGACAGCAGGGGCUUCAUCUCAACCUUUAGAUUAAAAGACUUGUCACCCAUGAUGUCUUCCUUAGACGGGAGGAUUCCCUGGAGAAAGGACUUGUGGCCCUGUCUCCCACUCCCACCCUCGAGAGGCUCCAGGUUAGCCCUGCUAUGUGUGCAGGAUCUCCAGCUAGGGUCUGAGGGCUUGGCUCAUUGUGAGCAAUUUGGGUGUGGGGCUCCCUUUCCUGCAGACUUACCCAUCGGAGCUAAGCCCACAUGCGUUCUGCCUGCUCGAGGGACCACUUUUCCUGAAACGGUCGUGGGCUGGUGAGCAGCAGGGAAGCCUGGAGGGGAGAGGCCCCCCAUCACAGGUCUGGUGCUGCCCGCCGGCUGGGAGAUACAGCUCUGAGCUAAGCGAGCAUCCUCUGGGUGCCUCAUGUCAUUUUGGCAGGGCUCACAGCUUCCCUUUACACUUGCAUGUGGGAGCUGGUGUAGGAUAAAUAUCAGGCCCGGUCUUUGUUCUUUGCCUGGUGACCUUUCAAUUUCUUGGCUUGUGCUUCAUUUCAAAAUCUCUUUAUAGGGACGAGAGGAAGUAGCUCGACCAGGAUCUGGCUCUGGUGGCUCUCGGUCCGGUGCACAGCACGAGGCUGUCUCACUGGGGUGCUGGGGACUGGGAGGCCGAGGAGGCCGACCUGAGCGGGGGAGGUUUACCCGAGGCCCAGGCUCUGGCAGUGCUGACUGGUGAUUGCUUCUCUUCUCAGCAGAGAUGACAGAAGGUGUCAAAGCCAAAUAUUCACUGGAGGCAAAGUCUGAACACUUCAAAUAAGAUUUAGUGACUCAUCGGUCGUGGGCAACUCAGGACUCUGAGAAUCCCUGCAGGAAAAAUGACUGUUAUCCUUAGGUGGGAAGUUGAGGAAGCCUCUGGAAACCUGUGGUGGCAGCCAGAUGGCACCACCAAUAUUCUGCCUGGAAAUUGCCGAUCAUCAAGCUCGUUAGCCAACGUCUAUUGAGUACCUGCUGUGUGCCUGGCUUUUAUAAGCUCUGGCUAUUCAUAGAUGGAUAAACUCACCAUGAUACCAACCGUCAUGAAGCUUCAUAGUCUGGCCUUCUCCACAAAGACCCAGUUGUCCCAUGCGACUCAUAAUGUGGGAGAGUGUCCUGUGCUGCUCUGCGGGCCUCUCUUCUGUGCUCCCUAGGUCACGAUUCCGGUGUGAGAGGAUGCUACCCAUCACAUACCUCGGCCUACCCCACCUGCUCAUAAUUACAGGACGUCACGGUUUUGUACCAGGCAUGGUGACAAGUACUUUUUAUAUGUGUCAUGUUAAUUACUCCAACCUACACUUCUCUGAGGUAAGUCGCAUCAGUCCUUUGACUGUUGAGGAAACUGACGUUCAGAGAUGUAACAACAGCCGGAAAGGUGGCAGAGCCAGUGAACCUAAGGAUGUCAGACCCCACGCUCCAUGUGUUUAACCUCUUCUGCAUACGGACUGUGUCGCCCGAGAGCACUCUGUUAUCAUCCUGUUUUGUUGGUGGCAGAAGUGCCAGUUCUCCAUCUGACUCGGGGAUUGGGCCUGGGUGGGGUAUGACCCCAGGUUACUGGUGAGGCCGAACCAGCCCUAACGCUGUGGGUAUUUAAGACGUGCAAACAAGGGGUAGGUGUUUGGAAGGCAGAUAGACGAAUGCCAGAACCCCAGGCCCAGGGAGGACCGCGCAGGUCCAGCAGGGAGAGAAAGUUGGCUGGGGGAGGCAGGACCACCUCCUGCUUUGAGAGCAGGCCUGACAGUCUGAAUCCUCGUGCCCAUCGGGGCCUCGGCCACAGCUGGAUCAGGUUAGAGUAACUUCCCCAAAACCAACUGGGAAAACCCUCAGGGUGCUAGGCCACUCAGGCAGCUGCCCGGGGGGACGACCGCCCCGGCUGCUGCCCCGUCUCCUCCAUUCAUGGAAAAGUACAGGCCUUCAGGCAAAUGCCUGGCUGCCCUCUGCACUGACAACUGCAAGCGCUGACUCGUUUGUCCUUGGUCCAGGGCUGGAGGAAAAUAGUUUCCCAAAAAAGCAGCUUAAAAAAAUGUGGAAAAUAUCCACACCCCAAGUGUCUGCAGAGCGGGGGCGGGAAGUCUCCUAGACGGGCUUGCAGCCGGAGAUUCCGCGGUCCUCUUGCGAAGAGGCAGGGAAGGAAUGUGAAACCCUAUCACCCGAAGGGGGAAAAAUGCACAGUGUGCCUUUCACUUUCUGCCUGCGCUUGGAGGCAAGGGGGGGCAUGGGUCAUGCUGGGAAGUUGUAGCCUCCUGAGGGGCUGCCUCGGACGGCAGGGGUUCAGUGGGUGGGUGAGUCAGGAUACCUGCUCUGGUCCCCAGAUGCUCAGUGGGGACCUGGAACAUGCAUCUAUUUUCUCAAGGAUGCUGGGACUGCUUGGCCUCCCAGUGCUAAACCUACUCUCUGUGACCAAUCCUCACUUCCUACCUUAUGCAGUGAUUUACCGCUUUACACAGGAUCUCAUUUGACACUUGCUGUGAGUGAGGAGGUGAGGUAUAGACCCAGGAUACUACUGGGUCUGUUGUACAAAAGAGAGACUCAGGUUCAGGAGGGGAGGUGUCUGCUUAGGGCCACAUAGACCUCAGUCUCCCGUGAGUCCAGUGUCCUUUCUCUUAGACCAUGCAUGUGCUGCCCCUAAGUCUUGCACCUUAGACACCCUAUGGGUCCCUGCUGCAUUAUCUCAGAAGUGGGAGGUGCUGGGGGGUGAGGGCUUUGGGGUCAGGAGCUUGACCUUUGUGGCACUGUGCCUGGACCAUAGGUGGCCUCUUGAUUGUGUGAAAGAAUGAAUGUGUGACCUUGGGCAAGUCAUUUUAACCUCUCUGUGCCUCAGUUUCCUCAUCUGCACAACGUAAGUGUGGAGUGGGAUAGUCUCUGAAGUCUGAGCUCCUUCCCAUUAUCAAGCUUUGAGGCGCUAAAUUUCCUGAUCAAACCCACGCUUCAAACCCACACUGGCUAGCCCCUGCCAAUGCAGCCAUCACCUCCCCAGUCCAUUCAGUCACUGGUCCCGCACAGACUCUGCCGUGACCCUUCCUGGUACCCACCUGGCCCUGGUGAAGUGGGCUGAGCACAGAGCUGGAGGUUCGAGGCCCGCUUUUGCCUCUGCCUGUCCACACAGAGCCCUGGCCCGGUUGCCCACACCACUCUGCAAGUGUUAGAUCUCUUGCCUGACCCGUGGGAUGGCAGGGUGAGGCUGGGUUGGGGUGAAAGCUGUGUGGAAAGGAAAAUCGGGGUCUCAGUGUGGGGGUGGUGUGAGGCACUCAUCUGAGAAUCAUGGUGAGGGGAGAGGUUUUCGAGCAGAACAGAGGGAGAUGCUGUCACUUGGUCAUCCUGGGCCAGGUGUCAUCUGGAUCUAGAUUCAGUGAUUCUGGGGCUGUAUUUCCUUUUUAUGGUCUCAGAUGGCUGGCUUCUUGACAGGGCUAAUGGUAUGGGGCACAGGAAAGGUGGGCACAGGGCCCUGCAGGUGUCACAGAGCUAAGUCCUUGACGCACCCUGGUGUGCUCGAGGGAGUCCAGGGGCAGGAGUUUUACACCGUGAGUGGCUGAGCAUUGUUUGGAAGUUCUACUGGGUGGUUCCUCCACGUGCCUGGCCCGAGCUGCUCUGGUGCUGCGGCCGGUGCGGGCAAGCAUGGAGAAGCAGACUGGGGGACUGGUGGACAGAAGGGUGGGGCAGCAUCCCUGUCAGGGCAGGAAUGGCCUACUUCUGUGUGUGCAGGGAUGGUGGAGGGGGUGGAGGGCGGUGUGUGGCUCCAGGCUUCCCCAGCCCCGCCACCAUGUUGGAAAUCCAGUUUAUUGAAUUUACAGUAAAGGUUUUAUGGGGCUUUCCUGGAAGCUUCUCAUUAUGGAAACUCUUGUGCUGGCAGUUUGGUGGCUGGUGUCUGGUUUGUUUGGGAGAGGUUGAGUCAGGUCCUGUCUUGAUGGAAAGUUCCUCUGCCUGGGUCACUUGAGGGGAGCAGGCCGGGGGCCCGAGUGGGCCUGCCAAAUUCUGAGAGGGGACCGGCUGUCCUGCAUCUUGGUGCUGAAUGGGUCCCCACUUGUUUCCUAUCUGACCAUCAUUCUCUGUGGGUUCCAGACAUCUUUUUAAGGGGAAGCUGUGGGAAAAAAAAAAGUCAUCCCAGUUAUUAAAGCCAUUUUCAUUAUUUUCCACAUAUUUGAAAAGUAUGAGGUGCUGGUUGAUUGAGCAAAACCAAGCCAACUCCAUGAAAAUGGAUUUGCUGAUGAUAAACAUCAGGAACACACAACACACAGGGCCACGUCUGGAUCGAGAGUCCUGGGGCCUCAGCGUGAAGUGCCUCCAGCUGCCCCUUAGAAACUCCUUUGUCUGACCUUUCCAACUUCCUCUUGGACUCUGACUUUGCACCUUCCUCACCACUAGGCUCACAUUCCCGCCCCAAGAUGCCUGAUUCUGAGGGGAGAAGAGCAGGGCUUUGGCUCUAGGAUCUAUGAAAAGGGCCAGUUUAUGAAUGUGGGUGUUUCACCAAGGCCCUGACGUGGAGACUGAUUCACAAGUCACCAACCAACUCCCCUUUGGCUGUUGGGGAGACUAUUAGAUCCUGUAACACUGGGUCAUGAGUCCCUCCCUUCCUGGGUGUUUUUUUUUUUUCUUUAAGUGUUUAUAUCACUGAUGUUCUCAUUCUUUAAAACAAGGGUCAUUCAUAAAACAGAACAUGCUGCUUGGGAGUCAUGAAAAUCAAACGGUUAAGGUUUCUCCGGGGACUGAUGCGUGUCCCUUUGUACAGAGUGUGGAGGAAGACCACAGCAUUGUCCCUUCCCUGUGGGUGAAGGUGGCCCCUGUGCCAUGCUGGUGGACAGCCAUGUUUCUAACGGUCCCUAGGUGUCCACGAGUGUGGUCUGUGCUGCCCCAGGACACAGCGAGCUGACUGUCAUCAGAGGAACCUGCUGGGGUUUUCACCGACUGCUCUGAAGGGUGGUUGGCCAGGAAAAUCUCUGAGCUUCCUGACCUGAGAUUCUACGGGGGAGUCAUUGGAGUGGACAGGUGCCAGCUUUGCAGCCCAACAGACCUGGGUUCAAGCCUCGCUUCUCCCACACACUCGGUUUCCUUCUCUGCAAGAGAGAAGCUAAUAAUAUCAAGGCUGCUCUGAGGAAUAAAUGGAGCCUUGCACACAGGGCACCUGAAACUCGGAUGGUGGUUUGCUAUUACUCCCCCUCUUCUCUUCAAGUCAGUUGGGUGCUCGGAGUAGGUACGCGCUUCACACUGUAAGCGAUCCUGCAUUAAAAAAAAAACAGCCACGUAGCUUCAUUUGAUACACGAUAUAUACACAUGCACCCGAGUGUUUGCAUCUUGUUUUGAUUUCUCCCCACUGUCUGUGUUUCCCACAUGUAUGUCUGGAUGAGUGUGUCUGUCCUAGAUGGCAGAGCGGGAGGGACUCAGGGCCACACCAGGCUCAAUGAUCUGCCUCGCGAUGACGACAGUGACACUAACAACAACCAUCUGACAUUUAUGAUUGCACCUGACUUCCCCAGUCACCCCCUCCGCCACUCCUGGGAGGCAGGAAGGACUAAUGAGGCGAACGGCACUGCUGAUGAGAGGCUUCCCGAGGGUGCACAGACGCGGUUGCCUGGGGUGGCAACAAGACCAGGCCCAGCUUGUGGGCUGAGCUGAAGACUCCCCAGGGUGGCCUUCUUGUUGCCCCCAACUCGUCCCCACACCCCACCGGACGUUCUUUUCUUGUGCCCCUUUCUUUCUGGACUUGGCCUGAGUUCCAGUAAUCAAAUUAGAUGGCUAAUUUUCCACGUGGGCUUUAAGCAUGAUCUGAAAGGCAAGGGAGCCUUUUCCUUGGACCCUGUAGGCUUGGGUGUCUGGGGUAGGUGAGGGCUCAGUUGCCUGCAGCCUGAGGGUCCCAGGGAAGCAGAGCAGGGGCCUAAGGCCAGAGCAGGCCAGUGGAACAUGCCAUUGUCCAGGGAGCUCCAGGCUAACUGGCUUUAGAAAGUUAUCUGGCCAGUCUUUUUUCUCUCCCUAAAUUAAUGUGUUCAUUCAUUCAUGCCUCUGGCCUGCCUGGCAUGUUAUAUUCAGUGCUUUGUCAUAUGCAGGAAAGGUGAGAUCCUCCCUGGCCUUGAGGAUUUUGCAGUUCGGUUGAUGAGUCAACUAGACAAUGAACAUGGACAAGUGGAAGCACCAGAGAAUAAUCUAAAGGCUGAGAGAAAAAAAAAAAUUCAAAGCCAGGGUUUGAAUCCUAGCCCAGUGUGGGGGCUGAGAGGCUGCUGGGGAGUCCUGGGUGAGAAGGACAAAGGGUCUGGCUGUGGGUCACCUGAGUCUGAGUACACUGGACAUGGCCAUCACUGUGUUGCUCUUCUGGCCUCCCACUUGCAACUCCCUGCUCUGGGAAAUAGCUCAAGGCUUUCAUUUUUGCACAAAGCUGGUCCCAAUCACACAGGGCAUCUGCCUUAAAUGCAACUAACCCCUACCCCUGUCCAUACCUUGGUUUGUUUGAAAUGAUGAGCCAGGCCAAGUGAGAUUCCCCUCUAACUGCUCUGAGCCAGUAAAUGCUGAAGAAUGGGCUAGCCGUGAGAGCCAAAGCUGCAAGAUCACGACGUGGGGCUGGAGAGUGGCCAGGAUGGACACAUGCAAGACAUUCUGAGGGGCGCCUGGGUGGCUCAGUCAGUUAAGUGUCUGACUUCAGCUCAGGUCAUGAUCUCAAAGUUCGUGGGUUCAAGCCCCGCGUCGGGCUCUGUGCUGACAGCUCAGAGCCUGGAGCCUGUUUCAGAUUCUGUGUCUCCCUCUCUCUCUGCCCCUCCCCUGUUCGUGCUCUGUCUCUGCCUCAAGAAUAAAUAGACAUUAAAAAAAAAAAAAAAGACGCUCUGAGAAGCAGAAGCUGUGAGGUGGGGAACAGCUGCAAAGAGCAGAGGUAACCAGGAGCCACUCGGUGGUGAGAAACGACAGGAAGACACAGAAGGAAGCCAAAUCAUGUCAGUGGUGGCCCAUUAGCUGGAAGAGAUACAAACUCUGCCUUGAGGGCUGCUGCAGAUCCAGGACCGACCCCAGGGUGCUGCUCCUCCCCUGAUGCCAGGCUUUCCUGGGUUCUUGCAUCCAUGUAGCUGUCAAAAAACCCCCAUGACGAGAGGAAGCACUGGUCAGUUUCAGUCUUCAUGCAAACAACAGAUACAUUAGCCUCACUAGUUAGCUUCCUAGCAAGCUGGAGAAUGAAGGUCAGUGGACGUCCACGUGUGCACACACGAACACGUGUACACGUGCAUGCACACACGUGUAUGAAUAUACACACAUUUACAGACUUGGUCGCCAUCCGGAAGUGCUGUAAGUGUGGGGCGGCAGAGCCGUGAUGGGGCAUGGACGGGAUCAGCAAGGCAAGCAAGGCUCCCUGGCCGGAUAGUCCAGUUGGAAGAACAAAUGGGUCAUGGCAGGAGAAACUGCUAAUUUUAGUUUCCUUCAGGAUGUAGAUGUCAUUUAAAGUCAAACUAUUUCCUCAUACUUGUGCCCAGCAAAUGAUUUACUGGGGAAUGCUAACGCUGUUCUCUGUGUCCCAGCAGUGUGAUGGUGUCCUAGAGCAGGGGACAUGUGGCCAGAAGGGCGGCAGCUCAGUGGGCAGUGUUUCUCUCGGCUGUCCUGAGACCCUCCACCGUGGCGGACUGCUCUUCACUGUAGUUCUUCAAAUACCUUGAAUAUGUGUCGUCUCUACAUACCCUUUUGGCCCCCACCACCUGCGGUUCGUUGCCCAUGGAGAUUCCUUGUUAGUGUCCAUCUGGUGCUGCACAGAGAGCUCUCCCACCCUGCGAUGCUGACAUAUGAAUAUGGAUGCACACAUGACCAUGGAAAGGCAUCAGAAAGUUACGUAACUCGCAAGUAGAGAAUACACAUCAGUUACACCUAAAGGUUAAGUGCAUUCUGGAGGUCAGAAAAAGCGAUGAGUGAAUAAUUGAGGUAAGAAAGUAGCUUGCGGGAACCACUUUAAGACACAGAUUGAUGCAGGGUGGGGCAGGGGAAACUGCUUAUGUGAUUAAUCUAAGACCUUCCAGAGGAAGUGGGCCUUCAGGAGCAGAUGGAUUGGAGAAAGGGAUAGGCUUGGUGAAGAGGUGGCCAGGGAACAUUCCAGGCACAUGAGUGUUGUUUCCGCAGGCUGAGGUGCUGAGAUGCCCUUAGGGUGGUUCACUCCUUUGGACUCCUUGGAGUGGCUAGAGGCCUCAGAAGGGAGCAGUGUGAUCAGGCAGCCAUGUGACAUUGGUCUGCACUUCUGGAUGUGCACAUCCCCUGGAAGUUAGGAGGAGGACGGGCCUUCCCUCUGUCCAAGCCAAGAAUCCAGACAUGAUCUCAUCAGGGCCACUCCCUGGGGGGAAGCAGGAGGCAUAGGACUGUUUCAUCCCAUUUCCAGAUGGAGAAACCGAGGAAUGGGAGGAGUUUAAGGACCAGGCAAUGAGCUCACUACAGAGCUGAGAAGAAAUUGGGCUCCUGCUCGGAGGGGCUGCCGUCCAGGACAGUGUGCACGUGCAUGUGUACGUGUGUGUGUGUGUGUGUGUGCGCGCGCGCGUGCUCCUCUCUGGUCCUCCUAAAUCUUCAAAAAGGACAUUGGAAGUGACAUAGUUUAAAAACAGACCCCAGUCCAUGAGAAAGAAUGUGUGGCAUUUGGAGAAUUACAUAAUCUUUAAAUUUAAUGUCCUGAUGUAUAAAAAGGGAAUAAUUGUAACACUUACCUCAUACCACCAUUGAGGUCACUAAUGGAUCUAAAUCUCAGGACCCAAUUUCUGACCCUAUCUGACCACAAUGCCCACUUGGUGGAUGUUCGUCUACCCGAGCUGAGCCCACUCUCGCUUACCCUGUUCAGGAGUGGGAGCCAUGUCCUGGUUGGCCUAGACACCAGCUAAUCCAAUGUGGGUCUGUAUUCUGUUAGAUUUAUUUUCCUAAUUGUUUUAUCCAAGUGUGUGUGGGGGGAUGGAACUAGCUUUGAGUGACUACUAGGCGGGGCAAUUUUCUAGGUGCUCGAUAUAAAUGAUUUCAUUGAAUCCUGGUGGUCCUGUGAGGGGUGUUAUCAAGCCAAGAGUUUGCAUCCUCUUGGAAAUAUUUUACCUGGGUAUUCCUGGAUGCUGAGUGGUAGAAGGAGGCAAGACUGAUGUUUGCAGAAUGCAAAUCGAAAUGAUCAGGAAGCCAAGCGUGAGACCACACUCCCUCUCUUAGCUUCAGGUACUCUUCAACAAGACCUGUGGUCCUGGUGGUCAUUGGUGGAGACUGAUCGCACGCCUCUUGAAGCUGUCUCUCCCAUGGCUUCAGUCCUUUCUGGUUCUCCUUCAACUUCAGUCCUUCCUCUUGGUCUCCUGGUGGUGGGGCGGGACAGCUUCUCUUCUGCGUGCUUCUUACAAGUUAGCUUCCCUAAGGAUCUGCCCUCAGUUCCUUCCUCUCUUCGGGUUGACUGUGCACCUGCAGACAUACUCCCUUCCAUACCCCCAAAUCAGUUCCCGGAGCGCCAGACUAAACCAGGCAAUUGACAGCUACCUUCCAGAAUUUCCAGACACAUCCAAUUCUAGGUGUUCAGACCUGAGCUCACCUUCUUUCUUCCUGAUCGGCUCCUCUUCGUUUCGGGUCUGACAGAUGACGUCACGGUCAUGCUAACCUGCUUCCUUUACCCUCCGCACCCCGUCUAACCAAGUCCUUGUAGAUUCCCUUCCUUCCCGUCUCCUCUUCCGUGCCAUCUUCAUCCCCAGUUAUGCCCUGGUUUUUUUGUUUUCGUUUUUUGCUCGACGUUCAACGUCUGCCCCCUUUGCCAGAGCAAUCCUUUCAAAUCUGUAAAAUUGACUGAUGUCGCUCUGGCUUCUAUCACCUUUGGGAUGAAGGCCAAGCCCUCCAUUAUCUGACCCAGUUUGCCCCCUCCAGCUUCUUCUCUGGCCGCGGC